AUUGAACGCUGGCGGCGUGCCUAACACAUGCAAGUCGAGCGGUAACAGGUGUAGCAAUACAUGCUGACCAGCGGCGAACGGGUGAGUAAUGCUUCGGAAUUUACCCAAUGGUGGGGAAUAACCAGCCGAAAGGUUGGCUAAUACCGCAUACGUCCCACGGGAGAAAGCAGGGGAUCGCAAGACCUUGCGCCAAUGGAUGAGCCGAAGUCGGAUUAGCUAGUUGGAGGGUAACGGCCUACCAAGGCGACGAUCCGUAGCUGGUCUGAGAGGACGACCAGCCACACUGGGACUGAGACACGGCCCAGACUCCUACGGGAGGCAGCAGUGGGGAAUAUUGGACAAUGGGGGAAACCCUGAUCCAGCGACGCCGCGUGUGUGAAGAAGGCCUGCGGGUUGUAAAGCAC
rnacentral:rRNA from 1 species